UACGAAGGGGGCUAGCGUUGUUCGGAUUAACUGGGCGUAAGGCGCGCGUAGGCGGGUUUUUAAGUCAGGGGUGAAAUCCCACGGCUCAACCGUGGAACUGCUCGGUAUACUGCGUCGCUUGAGCCAGCUAGGGGCGACCGGAACAAACGGUGGAGCGGUGAAAUGCGUAGAUAUCGUUUGGAACGCCGAUGGUGAAAACAGGUCGCUGGGGCUGUGCUGACGCUGAGACACGAAAGCCAGGGGAGCGAACGGG
rnacentral:rRNA from 1 species